UGAUUAGACCUUAAAAAGAUAAUGAGGAUAUUAGCAGGACGGUGGCCAUGGAAGUCAGAAUCCGCUAAGGAGUGUGUAACAACUCACCUGCCGAAUCAACUAGCCCUGAAAAUGGAUGGCGCUGGA
rnacentral:ncRNA from 1 species